GGUAUGAUAGGGUCUGCCAGCGUUGCCUGUUGCCCGGCGACGCAGCGUACGUUAAUAACGUGCAAGAAUACUUUUCAGAAUGCU
rfam:Raoultella planticola strain GCSL-DIFS-295 CFSAN029441_contig0299, whole genome shotgun sequence.